GAUGAACGCUGGCGGCGUGCCUAAUACAUGCAAGUCGAGCGAACGGACGAGAAGCUUGCUUCUCUGAUGUUAGCGGCGGACGGGUGAGUAACACGUGGAUAACCUACCUAUAAGACUGGGAUAACUUCGGGAAACCGGAGCUAAUACCGGAUGAUAUUUUGAACCGCAUGGUUCAAAAGUGAAAGACGGUCUUGCUGUCACUAAUAGAUGGAUCCGCGCUGCAUUAGCUAGUUGGUAAGGUAACGGCUUACCAAGGCAACGAUGCAUAGCCGACCUGAGAGGGUGAUAGGCCACACUGGAACUGAGACACGGUCCAGACUCCUACGGGAGGCAGCAGUAGGGAAUCUUCCGCAAUGGGCGAAAGCCUGACGGAGCAACGCCGCGUGAGUGAUGAAGGUCUUCGGAUCGUAAAACUCUGUUAUUAGGGAAGAACAUAUGUGUAAGUAACUGUGCACAUCUUGACGGUACCUAAUCAGAAAGCCACGGCUAACUACGUG
rnacentral:rRNA from 1 species